rnacentral:misc_RNA from 1 species
ACUGACACCCACCCACCCCACACACACACCCAGACACAGAUCGUGUCCACCACAAAAGGCAUCCAGCCAGCUUCCGUCGUGCAGACGCAUUCUGUGGUUUGCUGAAGGACGGUACAAUGCCCGUUAGUGUUCGCGGGCUUCACCGUGUCGCGGGUCUUGUUGUAGCGUGCAUGAUACUCGUCAUCACGGCGACAGCAGCCGCUGCCUCCAUCGUCGACUACACCGUUGCCCAGGUGUUUCAGAAGGACCUGUCACGUCAACCAUCGAGCCACUGGGCCCAGUACGAAACCAUGUGCGACGCGCCGGGCUCGGCCCGAAAGAUUCAACUGGUUGACUCGCUCCAUCGAAUCUUUGAGUGCAUCCACACCGAGAAUGCGCGCUUCCCUUACUACGCCUGGAACAGCACUUCCUGGUAUGCGAGCAGCAUGGGCUUCCUUUCCCCUACGCCGUAUGGCAUGUGCAGCGGGUACUGCCCGCCUCGCUUCUUUGCCGAUCUCCGUGGAACGUACGCAUUUUCCGACAACACGGCGGUGGUGUACGACGGCGGUGGCGACUGGCCCAUGAUCAGCUUGUAUGCAAUGCCGUUCGAGACGACUGAAGUAAGCUCGUCGAAGAGUUUUAUUUUGACUCUUGAAUCCUCCGAUGGCAGCGCUAAGUAUACCACUGUGGAGUACUGCAACGUGCCGAUUCUUGGAGGAACAGGCUCUGCGCAGACGCAGCUGACGGCACAGGUGGUUGUGUACGCUAACGGCACCAUCAUUAUGCGGUACGCCUCGCUGCCAGACACCAGCACGCUGCCCGAGUACAUGCCGAGCACGGGGCUCAUCUACUCAAAGACGCUGCGCACGGUGGUGCCGACGCCGACAACGGUGAACGGCAUUGUCGCAUACCGCUUCGACCCCGUGUUUGACGGGUGCGCCGCACAUGGCGAUGCCUCGGUGUGCACGGCGGACACGGGGGGCGACUGCGUGUGGUGCUCCUCCACGUCCGCGUGCUGUGCGAGCACGUUGGCGUCGGCGGUGUGUCCACGCGGGCAGUGGACAACGCCUGCGAGCAGCACGGCUGCCUUCGCGCCGCAGAAAUUCUACGACGUCACCGUGGACUUCGACACCCCCUUCGUGACGAUGUCGAGCUACAACUACUCCUACACGCUAGAGAAGGGCUACUUUCCGCUACAUCUGCAGUACCCUGAGCAGAACAUUCCACUGUUCCAGACGCCAUCGCAAUCAAUCAUGAACUGCAUCCCUGGUGCCUCGUGCCCCACGCAAGCCGACACACACUCUUGCGGUCUUUAUCGUAGCACGUGCGUGAACGGCAACUACACUCUCUCUAUCUUGGCACUGGAGUCGUUGUUCACAUUUGCAAAGGGCGGUCUUUGGACUGCAAAACUGCUACCCGAGCGGGCCCGCGGCGAGGAGCUCUGCGAGGAGGAAGGCGGCUGCGCGCCAGGCGUGGUAGGCCAGCUGACAAGGGUUGCCUUCAGAAACUCUUACUCUUCCAUGCCGCUCUUCUCUGUGCAGCUUUACGCCGACGUCAACGGCGUCAUUGACAUCACCAUCGACUGUGCGAGCUGUGCGCACGGUGACCCGAUGCUUGCGUACCCUCCAAUGCGCGUUGGACUUGUCCGCUAUGGCGUGGACGACGUAUCAUCGGUCAUGAUCCCGCAAGGCCUCCUGCGCAGUGGGCUGCACGUCCGCUUCGUGCCGCUGUCGAGCUGCAAGGACUGCGGAUUGAACGGCUGGUGCGACAAGGCCUCAGGUACGUGCCAGUGUCAGCCGGGGUACUACGGCAGCAGCUGCGUGGCGUGCCCUGCGUGCUGGACGGGCAGCAAGUGCGACGACGGGAUCAACGGCAGUGGGACGUGUCUGUGCAACGGAGGCGCGUGCGAGGCAGCGUGCGUGAACGCGAGCAGCGGGAGCGUGCCGCCGCGGAGCUGCGCCGGGUGCGAUGCUGUUGGUGGGCGGUGCAACUGCGGCGUGUGCGAAUGCCGGGAUGGGUGGAGCGGCGCGGGCUGCAGCGAGGCUCCUGCUGACGCGUGCCGCGCGUACUCGUUUGACGGGUGCGAGGUGUGCGGGCAGCACGAGGGGUGCGUGUUCUGCCAUGACUCGACGUGCUUCAAUCCUGCGCUGAGUGGGACGCGUGACGGGUACACGUGCUCGUACAGCACCCCCGCCGCCGACACGCAGGCGUGCGUGACCUACCGCAGCCGUGGCUCGAAGCCACCCCUGUACAAGGGCUUUGACUUCAUCGCGAUCAUUUGCUUAGCCUUGUCGGCACCCGUUGUCUUUUCGCUGCUCAUCUUCGUCGUUGUCGUUCGCCGCAACCGUCAAGCUCCGAAUCCGAUGGAUGUGUUUUCGGUGAUAGGGGCGCCGGAGUUUCGCAAUCUGCAGAGGGAGCGGGAGGUAGUUCAGGCUGCCUUCACACGGAAACGGGUGCGAGAGAGAGAGAUGAUGGGCAUUCCGUUGAAGCAGAUAUCUCUUCGACGGCUGUUCAAGCGGCGAAAGGAGGGCUUAAUGAACGAGCAGUGAGUGUGCUUGAGGCCCCGGAGCUCGCCAUGGAGGUGGCGGCAUAUGUGCAUACGACGUGCCACCCGUUGAGUCGGGAAGUCCACGUACCAUUGUUCCUUUGUACACGAAGCUGUUGUAUCCCCUGCUUUACUGUUUAUGUAGAUGGCCAUGCGGAUAUGUAGGCGUGCGCCCGGUCACGGCAUCGGCGCGACCGAGGGCGGCACAGCAACAAC